rnacentral:rRNA from 1 species
GAUGAACGCUGGCGGCGUGCCUAAUACAUGCAAGUCGAGCGCGAGAUUGAGGAGCUUGCUCCUCAUGAUCGAGCGGCGGACGGGUGAGUAACACGUAGGCAACCUACCCUUGAGAUUGGGAUAACUACCGGAAACGGUAGCUAAUACCGGAUACGACUUUACUGCAUAAGCAGUUCAGUUAAAAGGCGGAUUUAUCUGCCGCUCAUGGAUGGGCCUGCGGUGCAUUAGCUAGUUGGUGAGGUAGUGGCUCACCAAGGCGACGAUGCAUAGCCGACCUGAGAGGGUGAUCGGCCACACUGGGACUGAGACACGGCCCAGACUCCUACGGGAGGCAGCAGUAGGGAAUCUUCCGCAAUGGACGAAAGUCUGACGGAGCAACGCCGCGUGAGUGAUGAAGGGUUUCGGCUCGUAAAACUCUGUUGUUAAGGAAGAACACUUGAGGUAGUAACUGGCCUUGAGAUGACGGUACUUAACCAGAAAGCCACGGCUAACUACGUGCCAGCCGCCGCCGUAA